rnacentral:rRNA from 1 species
GACGAACGCUGGCGGCGUGCUUAACACAUGCAAGUCGAACGGAAAGGCCCUGCUUUUGUGGGGUGCUCGAGUGGCGAACGGGUGAGUAACACGUGGGUAACCUGCCCUUGACUUUGGGAUAACUUCAGGAAACUGGGGCUAAUCCCGGAUAGGAGCUCCUGCUGCAUGGUGGGGGUUGGAAAGUUUCGGCGGUUGGGGAUGGACUCGCGGCUGAUCAGCUUGUUGGUGGGGUAGUGGCUUACCAAGGCUUUGCGGGGUAGCAGGCCUGCGAGGGGCACCGGACACAUUGGGACGGGAAUACGGCCCAGACUCCUACGGGAGGCAGGAGUGGAGAAUGUUGCACAGGGGGCGGAGGCCUGAUGUGGCAACGCCGCGUGCGGGAUGACGGCCUUCGGGUUGUAAACCGCUGUCGCCUGUGACGAAGCGUGAGUGACGGUACUGGGUAAAGAAGCACCGGCUAACUACGUG